GACAGAGGGGGCAAGCGUUGCUCGGAAUUACUGGGCGUAAAGGGCGCGUAGGCGGGAUGGCAAGUCGGUCGUGAAAUCCCUCGGCUCAACCGAGGAACGUCGAUCGAUACUGCUGUUCUUGAGGAUUGCAGAGGAGACUGGAAUUCCCGGUGUAGCGGUGAAAUGCGUAGAGAUCGGGAAGAACAUCGGUGGCGAAAGCGCUCUACUGGACCGCAACUGACACUCAGGGACGAAAGCUAGGGGAGCGAAUGGG
rnacentral:rRNA from 1 species